CCCACUUUUUUUUUCUCUCCUCUGAUUCACAAACUGUACACAAUAAAAGGAACGCGUUUUAAUAGGAUACCAACUAGUUAUUGCUUGAGAGGUGUUUCAAACAACCCUCCACAUUUAGAUCUGUCAUCAUCAGCAAUAGAGAUGCUGGAGAUGAAUGACACACAUUUCACAAGCCUGCAUCCAAUACUACAAGGCAAGCCAGCACCUGGAACCCACAAGGAAAGAGGAAGAGGGGAUGGCCCAGGAAUACAUGGCGCUGGGCAAGAUGUGGAGUGACUGCCCAGAAUCAAGAUGAAUGGAGGGAGGAAGCUGGCUGAUGCCCUAUGCCCCAUUAAUUUAAUGUUAGUCAUACUCCACAUAAAAGGUUAGAACAAUCACUCAAAUUCUGUAUGUAUAAACUUACCGCAGGAUAAUCAAAUUCUGCUUGACUUGCUUUGUCUUGAAUAUAAUCCACUUUGGCUUUAUUUGAGGGGUUCUCUAGAUGUACAGGAGGAUUAAGUGUGCUCAUAGCUCCUGUUAUAGUC